rnacentral:rRNA from 1 species
AACGCUAAAAGCUCGAAGGGUGCGGGGUAUCGAACAGGAUUAGAUACCCUGGUAGUCCGCACGGUAAACGAUGGAUGCCCGCUGUAUGCGAUACAAUGUAUGCGGACAAAGCGAAAAGCGUUAAGCAUCCCUCCUGGGGAGUACGCCGGCAACGGUGAAACUCAAAGGAAUUGACGGGGGCCCGCACAAGCGGAGGAACAUGUGGUUUAAUUCGAUGAUACGCGAGGAACCUUACCCGGGCUUGAACUGCAGAGGAAUGCGGUGGAGACACCAAAGUCCUUCGGGGCCUCUGUGGAGGUGCUGCAUGGUUGUCGUCAGCUCGUGCCGUGAGGUGUCGGCUUAAGUGCCAUAACGAGCGCAACCCCUUUCGCCAGUUGCCAUCAGGUGAUGCUGGGCACUCCGGCGACACUGCCACCGCAAGGUGUGAGGAAGGUGGGGAUGACGUCAAAUCAGCACGGCCCUUACGUCCGGGGCUACACACGUGUUACAAUGGGUGGUACAGAGAGUCAGGCGUUGGCAACACCGCCUUAAUCCAAAAAGCCAUCCUCAGUUCGGAUUGGGGUCUGCAACCCGACCCCAUGAGGCUGGAUUCGCUAGUAA